UGAGGGAUCGUCUAAUGGCAGGACGACGGGUUCUGGCCCCGUUAGUCAAGGUUCGAAUCCUUGUCCCUCAGCCA
rnacentral:tRNA from 2 species